GUGGGAAGAGCGAGCUCUGAGAGAGGCUGCUCUGCAGGCCUUGGAGCACAUCUGGGACGAGGAGCAGCUCCGAGGUGCGUGGCUGACCGCCGACAGAUCAUCUUACUGUGGCCGCAGGUCCUCCAGGAGCUCUGUGCACCUGGGAGUUUCCCGCACGCGAGGACACCCAGGUCUGUUUUCUCGAGCGGCGGUGAGACGCAAAUGAAAUAACGCAUGCAGACCGCACCCCAAAGCACAGCUUCCAGCCAGCAAACGUGAGUUCUAGGCCUGUUGCAAUUGUACCAGUGAUUGCGGUGACCCAGGGGACCCCAGGGUCCCGCUCCCCCUUCCCCAGCAGGUGUCUCUGCCAUCCAGCCCCCCACCAGCCUGCCCUCCACUGGACCUUGCGAAAGAUUCCUUUUAAUCAAGAAAUGGCCCGCGGAGGAAGAUGGCAGAUACGUGUUUAUAGCUUUCUGUUUCCCGCCUUGCCUUUUUGUAAACACCCUGUCCCAAGCAGGAAAAUAAAUUUCCAACCCUG